UCUACGGGUGGCUGCAGUAGGGAAUCUUCCACAAUGGGCGAAAGCCUGAUGGAGCAACGCCGCGUGGGUGAAGAAGGUCUUCGGAUCGUAAAACCCUGUUGUUAGAGAAGAAAGUGCGUGAGAGUAACUGUUCACGUUUCGACGGUAUCUAACCAGAAAGCCACGGCUAACUACGUGCCAGCAGCCGCGGUAAUACGUAGGUGGCAAGCGGUAUCCGGAGUUAUUGGGCGUAAAGGGAACGCAGGCGGUCUUUUAAGUCUGAUGUGAAAUCCUUGGGGUUAACCGGGGUAGUGCAUUGGAAACUGGGAGACUAGAGGGCAGAAGAGGAGAGUGGAACUCCAUGUGUAGCUGUGAAAUGCGUAGAUAUAUGGAAGAACACCAGUGGCGAAGGCGGCUCUCUGGUCUGUAACUGACGCUGAGGUUCGAAAGCGUGGGUAGCAAACAGGAUUAGAUACCCUAGUAGUC
rnacentral:rRNA from 1 species